GAAACAUAAAAGUAGAUAACUCAAGAUGAUUUCUCUUAAGGAUGAGGAAUAGGAGAACCACCACCUCCUCCGCCACAACAAGGAGAAGGUUUCCAAAUGCUACUAUAAUCCUCUAAAUCAUCUUCAGCACGGUAAAAUUUGUCACCUUGGCUCAAAUGGUCCCUUAAUGGCCGAACAAUAGAUACUGGAUGCUGCACCGUUGAUGAGGAUGGAAUUAAUGUUAAUGGCAUGGAUAUCACAACCAUUAGUAUUGUUGCUAUCAUCACAAUCACCAUAAUCUUUGAACUGAUUUUCACCAUAAUUAUAAUUUUGGUUUCAAUGAUAAUUUUCUCUCUCUCGUGAAUCUGAUAUGAGUAGCUUCGCAAC
rnacentral:lncRNA from 1 species